UACGUAGGGUGCAAGCGUUGCCCGGAUUCAUUGGGCGUAAAGCGCGCGCAGGCGGCCCACCAAGUCCCGCGUGAAAUCGCCCGGCUCAACCGGGCGGGGUCGCGGGAGACUGGGGGGCUCGAGCGAGGGAGGGGGCAGUGGAAUUCCCGGUGUAGUGGUGGAAUGCGUAGAUAUCGGGAGGAACACCAGUGGCGAAGGCGGCUGCCUGGACCUCUGCUGACGCUGAGGCGCGAAAGCGUGGGGAGCGAUCCGG
rnacentral:rRNA from 1 species